rnacentral:rRNA from 1 species
AUUGAACGCUGGCGGCAUGCCUUACACAUGCAAGUCGAACGGCAGCACGGGGCAACCUGGUGGCGAGUGGCGAACGGGUGAGUAAUGCAUCGGAACGUACCUUUCAGUGGGGGAUAACGUAGCGAAAGUUACGCUAAUACCGCAUAUUCUGUGAGCAGGAAAGCAGGGGAUCGCAAGACCUUGCGCUGAUUGAGCGGCCGAUGGCAGAUUAGCUAGUUGGUGAGGUAAAGGCUCACAAAGGCGACGAUCUGUAGCGGGUCUGAGAGGAUGAUCCGCCACACUGGAACUGAGACACGGCCCAGACUCCUACGGGAGGCAGCAGUGGGGAAUUUUGGACAAUGGGGGCAACCCUGAUCCAGCCAUGCCGCGUGAGUGAUGAAGGCCUUCGGGUUGUAAAGCGCUUUCGGCCGGGAAGAAAUCGCACGGGCUAAUACCCUGUGUGGAUGACGGUACCGGAAUAAGAAGCACCGGCUAACUACGUGCCAGCCGCCGCAGUAACAC